CGAUUGCUUGAAUAGAUUUCGAGAGAUCGAUCAGUCGAGAACUCUGAAAAUUCACGAAUCAGUGGAAACGGCGUUAUUAGUCAGCCAUCACGGAAAAUAUUUAAUUAUUAGCAGAAAUUGGUAAUGAUUUCUUAAAUCAGGAUAUCGAUUACGUGUUACAUAAUUUUUGCAUAACUGAUGCAUAACAUAUAACUGAGUGUGCUGAAAUUAAGUAUGAUUUGAAAACAUUAAUGAAACGUUAAAAAAUAUUAUUAAGUUAUCCAGAAUAAAUAAAAUGGCUAACUUUAUAAAACCGAUGCAUCUAUUUGCAUAUAUUAUUAGCUAUUUAAAUAGAUAUCGACUACCUUUGCCUCUAAUUAUGUCACCACAGUAAUUUAAAAGUAGAGAACAGUGGCUCUCACAAUAAAAUUGUUGAAACCUAUUUGUAUUUAAAAUAAAAAGAAAUUUGAUUUGCACACUUUUCUUACUAAUAAAAGAAUGUUGUAUAAUCUAUAAAUGAUUUAAAUUAAUAAGCU